GGAAACAGGUGCUAAUACCGUAUAUCUGUAAGGAUCGCAUGAUCUUUAGAUGAGAGAUGGUUCUGCUAUCGCUUUUAGAUGGACCCGCGGCGUAUUAACUAGUUGGUGGGGUAACGGCCUACCAAGGUGAUGAUACGUAGCCGAACUGAGAGGUUGAUCGGCCACAUUGGGACUGAGACACGGCCCAAACUCCUACGGGAGGCAGCAGUAGGGAAUCUUCCACAAUGGACGCAAGUCUGAUGGAGCAACGCCGCGUGAGUGAAGAAGGUCUUCGGAUCGUAAAACUCUGUUGUUAGAGAAGAACACGAGUGAGAGUAACUGU
rnacentral:rRNA from 1 species